rnacentral:rRNA from 1 species
AGCGAACGCUGGCGGCAGGCUUAACACAUGCAAGUCGAGCGGGCACUUCGGUGUCAGCGGCAGACGGGUGAGUAACACGUGGGAACGUACCCUUCGGUUCGGAAUAACGCUGGGAAACUAGCGCUAAUACCGGAUACGCCCUUUUGGGGAAAGGUUUACUGCCGAAGGAUCGGCCCGCGGCUGAUUAGCUCGUUGGUGGGGUAAUGGCCUACCAAGGCGACGAUCAGUAGCUGGUCUGAGUGGAUGAUCAGCCACACUGGGACUGAGACACGGCCCAGACUCCUGCGGGAGGCAGCAGUGGGGAAUAUUGGACAAUGGGCGCAAGCCUGAUCCAGCCAGGCCGCGUGGGUGAUGAAGGCCUUAGGGUUGUAAAGCUCUUUUGUCCGGGACGAUAAUGACGGUACCGGAAGAAUAAGCCCCGGCUAACUUCGUG